ensembl:misc_RNA 7SK 7SK RNA
GGAUGUGAGGAUGGUCUGGCUGUGGCAUCUGUCAUCUCGGUGAUUGCCAGGAUUGAUUUGGCCGGUACAACUGGAGAGGCAGCUGUCCCCUUCCUCCCGCACUCCUUC